CCCUUAGAUGUUCUGGGCUGCACCCGUGCUACACUGGCAGGUUCAGCGAGCUUCAUGCCCUGAUCUGAAAGGAAUGGGAAAUCUUUUCAAAACCUGCCGUGCUUGGGAUAGAUGUUUGCAAUUAUUCAUCUUCAACGAGGAUUGCCUUGUAAGCGCACGUCAUCAGCGUGCAUUGAAUACGACCCUGUAUUCUGUACACACCGCCCGUCGCUCCUACCGAUUGAAGUUUUCGGUGAGUUGACAGGAGGAUUUUUUUGAAACUGGUUCGCCAGUGGAUUUUAGAUCCAAAUGCCAACGAAUCGAGGGCUUUAGAGGAAGGAGAAGUCGUAACA
rnacentral:rRNA from 1 species